UGGCUCAGUGAGGCGUUCGGACUGGCCCAGGGAGGUCGGCAACGACCACCCAGGGCCGGAAAGUUCGUCAAACUUGGUCAUUUAGAGGAAGUAAAAGUCGUAACAAGGUCUCCGUAGGUGAACCUGCGGAGGGAUCAUUA
rnacentral:rRNA from 2 species